rnacentral:rRNA from 1 species
UACGUAGGUGGCAAGCGUUGUCCGGAUUUACUGGGCGUAAAGAGCGCGCAGGCGGUUGUUUAAGUCGAAUGUGAAAGCCCCGGCUCAACUGGGAGGUCAUUCGAUACUGCCGUGCUUGAGGACUGGAGAGGAGACUGGAAUUUACGGUGUAGCGGUGAAAUGCGUAGAUAUCGUAAGGAAGACCAGUGGCGAAGGCGGGUCUCUGGACAGUUCCUGACGCUGAGGCACGAAGGUCGGGAGCAAACGGG